CAUGGCCCGGGAGUGCACCCAAAACCGGAGCCGCAAGAACUGGAAUCAGCUCCGGCAGAAUAUGGCCCCGCGGGCAGCUGCUCAUUAUUAUCAUGCAGAGCCAACUUUGCCAGGAGUGCCGCUUGAGUCGGCUGAUGAACCCCUGGGCGUUUUGCACGAUGUAAUGUCCAUCCAUGCUACUGACAACCGACAACCACAUUGCCAGACCGUGACUCUGGAAGGGAAAGAGGUACAGGGGCUACGUGAUUCCGGCGCUACCUUAACUUUGGUUGCCCCGCAUUUGGUGUCAGGAUCAGCACAUACCGGGGGAUCGGUAGCAGUCCGGGUAGCAGGGGG